UGGGGCAGUUGCCAUUGCCAUAGCCCUGCCUGGAUCUACGCUAUUUCAUCAUCUAGAGGUCCCAGGAAGAUUUUCAUGGGUAUAAGAACAAAGAGAGGCAGAGGACAAGGAUCUGGAUGUGAUCUCUCAGUUGCUGCUCAGGUGUUCUGCCUGCCUGCUGCCAUGCUCCUUGCUGUGAUGAUAAUAGACUCCUAUCGCUCUGGAACCGAAAAAAACUAAAAAAAAAAAGCCUUCCUUCUAUAAGUUGCUUUGGUCAUGGCAAUAGAAAGGUAAUCCAAGGACAUUUGUUGAA